CAGUAGCCGCGGUAAUACGUAGGGUGCAAGCGUUAAUCGGAAUUACUGGGCGUAAAGCGUGCGUAGGCGGUGAGUUAAGUCUGCUGUGAAAUCCCCGGGCUCAACCUGGGAAUGGCAGUGGAUACUGGCUCGCUAGAGUGUGUCAGAGGAUGGUGGAAUUCCACGUGUAGCAGUGAAAUGCGUAGAGAUGUGGAGGAACACCGAUGGCGAAGGCAGCCCCCUGGGCCAAUACUGACGCUCAUGCACGAAAGCGUGGGGAGCAAACAGGAUUAGAUACCCCCGUAGUCCCUGUCUCUUAUAC
rnacentral:rRNA from 1 species